rnacentral:rRNA from 1 species
UACAGAGGGUGCGAGCGUUAAUCGGAAUUACUGGGCGUAAAGCGUGCGUAGACGGUAGCGUAAGUCAGAUGUGAAAGCCCCGGGCUCAACCUGGGAACUGCAUUUGAGACUGCUCUGCUCGGGUGCGGAAGAGGGAAGCGGAAUUUCCGGUGUAGCGGUGAAAUGCGUAGAUAUCGGAAGGAACACCAGUGGCGAAGGCGGCUACCUGGCAUGAUACUGACACUGAGGCGCGAAAGCGUGGGGAGCAAACAGG